rnacentral:lncRNA from 1 species
AAAUAAGUAAGGUAAUUAGGAUAAAAUGGCAAAUUAAUAUCUAUUGGGCCCAUUCGCCACUCUGCCCUGCCCCUAUCCCUCCUCUGCAAAUGACUCCCUCCUCCUCCUCCUCCAGAUAUCUUAAUCUUCCCUUCUUUAAUAUGAAGAAGCCAAGCACCAGCAGCCUCAUGGUAAUCACUCCCCGUAAUAUUCCCUUCCUUGCCUAGCUCCCCCCUCCCAACCUCCCAAAUUACAGAAUUACAUUUCUCUAUAUCUUCCUCCGAAUUCCUUCCUUGGCUGGAUGAGGUUCCUAUUCGACUU